AUUGAACGCUGGCGGCAUGCCUUACACAUGCAAGUCGAACGGCAGCACGGGAGCAAUCCUGGUGGCGAGUGGCGAACGGGUGAGUAAAGUAUCGGAACGUGCCCAGUCGUGGGGGAUAACGUAGCGAAAGUUACGCUAAUACCGCAUACGAUCUAUGGAUGAGAGCGGGGGAUCGCAAGACCUCGCGCGAUUGGAGCGGCCGAUAUCAGAUUAGGUAGUUGGUGGGGUAAAGGCUCACCAAGCCGACGAUCUGUAGCUGGUCUGAGAGGACGACCAGCCACACUGGGACUGAGACACGGCCCAGACUCCUACGGGAGGCAGCAGUGGGGAAUUGUGGACAAUGGGCGCAAGCCUGAUCCAGCCAUGCCGCGUGCAGGAUGAAGGCCUUCGGGUUGUAAACUGCUUUUGUGCGGAACGAAAAGGUUUGACUUAAUACGUUGGACUCAUGACGGUACCGUAAGAAUAAGCACCGGCUAACUACGUGCCAGCCGCCGCGGUAA
rnacentral:rRNA from 1 species